UGUAAUAAGGUUAUUUAAUGUAAGUUUGUCAGGCUUAAGAGUAGAAUAUUCCAC
rnacentral:tRNA from 1 species